AUAGCGUAUAUUAAAGUUGUUGCGGUUAAAAAGCUCGUAGUUGGAUCUGCGGCCUGGGAGGCCGGUCCCCCACAGGGUGCGACUGGUCGAUCCGGGCCUACCUCGCCGGUCGUCCCGCGGUACCCUUUACUGGGCGCCACGGGUGGCCGGCAAGUUUACUUUGAAAAAAUUAGAGUGCUCAAAGCAGGCGCGUAGCCUGAAUAGUGGUGCAUGGAAUAAUAGAAUAGGACCUCGGUUCUAUUUUGUUGGUUUUCGGAGCGCGAGGUAAUGAUUAAGAGGGACAGACGGGGGCAUUCGUAUCGCUGCGUUAGAGGUGAAAUUCUUGGAUCGCAGCGAGACGGACAACUG
rnacentral:rRNA from 1 species